AACAAACGCUGGCGGCGUGCCUAAUACAUGCAAGUCGAACGGGGAAAGCUUUCGGGUGAGUACUAGUGGCGCACGGGUGAGGAACGCGUGGAUAAUCUGCCUUAGAGUGGGGGAUAACUAGUCGAAAGAUUAGCUAAUACCGCAUAAGACCACAGGAGCUGCGGCUCUAGGGGUCAAAGGUUUUUCGCUCUAAGAUGAGUCCGCGUAAGAUUAGCUAGUUGGUGAGGUAACGGCUCACCAAGGCGACGACCUUUAAAUGGUCUGAGAGGAUGAUCAGUCACACUGGAACUGAGACACGGUCCAGACUCCUACGGGAGGCAGCAGUAGGGAAUAUUGCACAAUGGAGGAAACUCUGAUGCAGCGACGCCGCGUGAGUGAUGAAGGCCUUCGGGUCGUAAAGCUCUGUCGCAGGGGAAUAACACAAUGAAUGUACCCUGUAAGAAAGGAUCGGCUAACUUCGUGCCAGCAGCCGCCGUAAAAC
rnacentral:rRNA from 1 species